ensembl:lncRNA
AAACAAACAAUGGAGUGGAGUUCCGGGACAAUGAAAGCACAAUCUCGACAAUGACGGUCCAGACGGAUGGGGAAGGGUUUACGACGGACAGCACCAUGGGUGACACGUCUUCUGUCGUCUCUGUAAAAUCAUCUGUGUCCACAAGAUCUUCCCGCUCUGGACUCACCCGGCAAGGUAACUUCCACACACGAGAGAAAUGCUAUUUACAUCUUGGUCAUUGUGCAACAUAUAGUGACACAGACAUCAUUUGGUAGAAACAUGUAAUGGGUGAGAUGUUAUUCUCUUAUUCUUAUUCGUUUAAACUUCAAUGGAUCUGGAUUUUUUCUGUCUGCCUAGAAUCAACAUUCAGGCCCCUGAGCUCUGAAAAAAAAAACCAAGACAAGGAGACGACACAGGAGGACCGUUGUGGGAAUCCCUCAGCAUGUUCAAAGAGAACUGGGUAAGGAUUUCAAAUAUAUUUUCACAAAGGAUAUCUGCCAAUGAACUACUGUUGGAAUUGUAUGAGCUACAGGAUAUCUUUACAUGUCCAUUUCCUUAAUUAUUGCUAUGAACUUCUCCUGCCUUCUCUCAGGUAUGGACAGAGCGGGUUGGUCACGGACUCCGAGGUUAGAUGAGGAACAGCUUUAUAAUGGGGAAACUGACGACAGCUCAACCACUGAUGGGCCAGAGCGGGCAGCAGGGUCACAAAAGGGAGGCAGUUCCACCCUUCUAAAUAUAAACGACACCCGCCCCCUCAACAAAGAACAGCUCAAGCAGCUUGGCGACCAUGCCGGUCAUCAGGACCGCCUUGGUCCUUGGAUGGCCGGCGCCAACAGCCUCCAGCAGCCGCCGUCUAGCGCCGUCAUGUCCAUGUCACCCCAGGCCGCCUACAUGUCCAAAAUCAUUCCCAACGCCGUGCUGCCGCCCUCCAUCGAGGUGGUGGAAAUAAGCCGCGGACAGAGUCGUAACAGCGUUCGCACCGUCAGCAAGAGCAGCCUGAUGCUGUCCAGCCCGUCACCGUCCCGCGCUUCCUCCAGAUCCUCCAACGUCACCUCCGCCUCCCGCUACAACCCUAUCAACAUGUCUGACAGCUCUUGUUGGAGCAACUCUGAGUCCUCGGAGACAUUGGUUUCCGACUCCUCUACCAUCUCCAGGAACAGCACCCCAAAUCAGAGGCGGUCACAGGAAAGAGAGGACAAAAUCAGCGUUCACUCCUCCAUCAGCAAGGCAUCAAAAAGCACGUCCAAUGGCAAGCUCAUUAUUAAUGGAGAGGGGGUUAAAAAAGAGGGUCCGUUUGUGCGUAGCCUCUCCGUCAUGAAAUCCAAGAGGGCACCUCCUCCUCCAAGCCGCUCCUAUUCCCUUCACAAUAAGAUGAAGCGACGAUCACGUGACUUGGCAGAGCUGAAGAUCAACACAGGAGAAUCCUUUAUCCAUAACCGCUCAGCCUCCGGUGCGGAAAAUGAAACAAACAAAUUGGGAUAUUCUCCGGUGCCCACUAGAACCAGGGACAGCCCUGGAUACACUGCUGACACCAGUUCUCUGGAAGACUCUAUAGGUUCAGCAUCAUUUAGUCUCAUCAGAUCCCAGGUGCAGGCACUUAAGGCAGAGAGAGCAGCAAAGGUUGAGGACAGGGGAAAACUACCUUUGGAAAAUGAGCAGAGCAAAGUAGUAUCCCCUUCCAGUGGCUACUCAAGCCAAGAUGGCGCAUCAUCUCAGGUUCCUAAGCAGUCCAACAAGAAAGGCAUCUUAGCUAAGCUCCAUAGAUUUUUUCCAGGCUCCUCCCCUCUCCCGCAACCUGACACAUCUGCCGAUAUCGUAAACAUCAGCCCUUCGGUAAGGGCCCUGAGAGAACUCUUCAACAUCCCUCCGCCACCUAAAGUCCAUGCACCACCAGCCCCUCCUCCAGAGGUAUGGGCCCACAGCAAGCGUUCCUUUGAGCUUCUGCUAGGACCUCCGGCACCUGAUAAUCUUGAAGCUAUCAUAAAGAAGAAUCCAAAGGACAGGAGACCGAGGCAGUCUCCUUCUACGUCGGCAGAGAGCUCUGUGAAGAGCUUAGUGAUGGAAAGAAAACACAAGAAACCAGCAGUGACUGUGGAGUCUGUUAAUAAGUUCCAGAAUGUGCUGGAAACAAAGAAAGAUCAAGAAAGUGGGAUUGUGAGUGCAGAGAAGCACAUGGAGAACAACAGAUUGGCUCAGCCAAAUGUUCAUUUGAAUGGGAAAAGUAAAGUGACAGAACAAGUUGAGGAAACACAAGUAAGUGAAAUAAUAAAUGGGAUAUUAGUGAAGGCCGUAGAGAAACGUGAUGGAAGGCUGGAAGCAGUCAGAGAAGAAGAAGAAGCCAAAAAUACAUCCACACAAACUUCAGAGGUAAAACAAUCUCGCAUGGAUACGUUACCUGCCAUUUUAUUAGCUCGCAUCCUUCCACCUCCCUCAUCUCCUCUUGGGCCCCCUUCUCACCCUGCCCAACAGACCACGAUGUCCCCCGAGUCGUCCUGGCCCCCACCACCUCCACCACUGGUGGGCCUCAAUGGUCCUGAUGAGAUGGAUUUCCCUCUUCCACCUCCCCCAAUCAUUGGUGAGGGGGGGUUAGUUAUGCCUGUUCAGGUGCCACCAGAGAGACCCACUCCUGGUGGUGACUCCUCUUGCACAACUACAUCUGUUCUAUCAGGGGUUGCACCUCCACCCCCGAGUAUCCCACCUCCCCCACCAUAUACAGCUCCCGCUCCACCACUUAAAGCAGUUUCCCCUUCUACUAUUAAAAAGGUCUCUCCUUCACCUCCACCUAAAGAGGUGACUCUUCUGCCGCCGCUUAAAGAGGAGACCCCUCCGCCGCCACCUAAAGUGGGGACUACUCUUCCGCCGCCACCUAAAGAGGAGACCCCUCCUCCGCCACCUAAAGUGGUUACUACUCCUCCGCCGCCAUCUAAAGAGGAGACCCCUUCGCCACCACCUAAAGUGGUAACUACUCCUCCGCCAGCCCCUAAAGAGGAGACCCCUCCUCCGCCACCUAAAGUGGUGACUACUCCUCCGCCAGCCCCUAAAAAAGUGACCUCUCCGGCACCACCGAUAGGCGUUUCUUCCCCACCCCUCAAAGAGGCUUCUCCUACCCUUGUUGUAGAUGGGUCCGUCACACUGGUUGCGGUGGUUUCAUCUUCCCCUCAGCCUCCUACAGAGGUCUCUACUAAGCUCACGCCACCACAAAGUAUUCCACCUCCUCCACCCUUCCCGUCACAAUCCAAGUCGGAACAGGAGAUUGAUCCUCCACAAGGGAGCAUCCCUUCCCAAUCUGAAACAAGUCCAGUUUCAUCUUACAGUAUUCUCACUCCCCCUCAGAGUAUCCCCCCUCCACCUCCUAUACAACUUCUCCAUCAACCUCAGGUGGGGCCACAGAACACAGAUGGUCCAGCUACCCAGGAGCCCCCCCCCUUUGGCACUAUCUGA